AGGACGAACGCUGGCGGCGUGCUUAACACAUGCAAGUCGAGCGGAAAGGCCCUUCGGGGUACUCGAGCGGCGAACGGGUGAGUAACACGUGAGUAAUCUGCCCCUAGCUCUGGGAUAGCUCCGGGAAACCGGGAUUAAUACCGGAUAUGACCACUUUAGACAUCUGUUGUGGUGGAAAGAAUUUCGGCUAGGGAUGAGCUCGCGGCCUAUCAGCUUGUUGGUGGGGUAACGCCUACCAAGGCGACGACGGGUA
rnacentral:rRNA from 1 species